UGAACCUUUAAUCCAGUCCCGUGAGGCUGGCAAGGGGAGAUAAUCAGGUACACUCUUAGCCUCUUGCCACCUCAAAGCAAGAGGUUUUUUUAU
rfam:Chloroflexi bacterium RBG_16_50_11 RBG_16_scaffold_150553, whole genome shotgun sequence.